rnacentral:rRNA from 16 species
GCUCCUUCGAGUCGAGUAGUUUGGGAAUGCUGCUCUAAAUGGGAGGUAUAUUUCUUCUAAAGCUAAAUACUGGCCAGAGACCGAUAGCGCACAAGUAGAGUGAUCGAAAGAUGAAAAGCACUUUGGAAAGAGAGUUAAAAAGCACGUGAAAUUGUUGAAAGGGAAGCGCUUGCAGCCAGACUUG